CAGGUUUCCUACAGGAUUGGCCAUAUUGAUUCUCCCCAGGUGGGGAUCACCUGAUCCACGCUGAGCCAAUCUCUGAUUUGUGCAGAGAAUUUGGAAUCAGAACCAAAAGAUUUCAGCUGAGGCUGGCUGUCUUCGCAUCUAGAGGCCAGGAGCUGUUGACUGCCGGGCUUUCUGCUACUGGCUGGAGUGGUGGACAGAGCCAGGGGCUGCAAGGAAGACGAAGAGACGGAGGAGAGCAGCAAGGUAAGUAUCCAGAAGUGGGACCGUCGGAUCGUGUGUGGAUUAAGUUUGUCAUAAGAAGCUUCCAGACUACACUACCACUAGUAAUGGACAAGUUUCAAUUGUUCCACAUCCUUACCAAGUGCC
ensembl:lncRNA